GGUCCACUUUGUGGCGCCCCGGGUGGAGCCACCCUUUCCACCCCUCACGGCUUCUUCCCGAGGUCGAGGGAGUCUGGUUCUCUACGGUCGACCCUCAGGGCAUCCCGACCUUAGUCGAGGGAUUCUUGCGUCAAGCCGAUGUUUCAUCGUCCUGCGAUACUUCUCGAGAUCGAGGGAGUUUGGGACUCUACGGUCGAGCCUCGAGGCAUCCCGAUUUUGGCCGGAGAAUCUGAGGAUCACAGACGACCCAACGUUAGAAGAGAGUUACAGCCAUCAAGAUGAGAGAAUUAUUUGUAGAAAAGGAACUGAGUCCAUUGUCCUGAUUGUUUUGAACCCCGAGGGGUUUCACUGGUAGUACAUUCGUAGAUUCUCGGAGUUCCAGCUUCGCGGGAUCAGGGUCCCCUCUAGGGACUUCAAUUUGUACGCCCCUGGUCGUUGCACCCGGGCGAUCUGAUACGGCCCUUCCCAAUUUGGGGCGAGCUUUCCUUGCUCGGUCGGUCGAGAAGCCUCGGCUCUCCUGAGGACGAGGUCCCCCACUUUGAAGAGCUUGGGCUUGACUCUGG
rnacentral:lncRNA from 1 species